rnacentral:misc_RNA from 1 species
GAUGAAGAACGCAGCGAAAUGCGAUAAGUAAUGUGAAUUGCAGAAUCCAGUGAAUCAUCGAAUCUUUGAACGCACAUUGCGCCCCUUGGUAUUCCGAGGGGCAUGCCUGUUCGAGCGUCAUUAUAACCCCUCAAGCUCAGCUUGGUGUUGGGGCCUGCUGCACUGGCAGCCCUUAAAAUCAGUGGCGGCGCCAUCUGGCUCUAAGCGUAGUAAUUCUUCUCGCUAUGGAGUCCUGGUGGAUGCUUGCCAUCAACCCCCAAUUCUUCUAUGGUUGACCUCGGAUCAGGUCGGGAUACCCGCUGAACUUAAGCAUAUCAAUAAGCGGAGGA